AGAUGACCAGAUGCUUAAACAUGGUGCUUUUAGGUAUAGCAUGAAGCAUGCGAAGAUGAAUGAGUAGUCUAGAGAGGAUUCAUCACCCCGAGUGAUUUGAAGGAGACAUAUCUCAUUUGCUCAUAGCUUAUAUUGAUUAAAAGUCCUUAGCCAAGGCAAUCUUGAUAGGUCAAUAUAGAAGCUGUAGGACUAAUAUGGAUAAGUUAGAAAGUAGACACCGAGCCAGGCUUUUUAUUUAUCUGGGAUAUAUGAUGAAAGGAUUGAUUUACAUUGAGAUACUGUACACUGAAAGGUUAGUCAAAUCAUAUUGACUCUCUUGACAUUUGGAUGGUCAUGAUGUAUUGCUAAAUGCCAUUCAUAAUUUAUAAAUAUAAAUAUAAAUUCUUAAUUGAAUUAAUUUAUAUUUAUUGCUAACAUGUUGGGAACCUAAUGGGUCACACACAUAAGGUGAAUUGUUGAAAUUAAUUUGAGUUCAAUUGGAU
rnacentral:lncRNA from 1 species